UGGAUCACCUCCUAACAGGGAGACAACAAAAUGUUUAAUAUUAUUAUUUUGUCACCUUAGGUCGAUCGGUAUCUCACGUUCUUAAUUUAUUAAGAAUUUCAUUUCCUAAGUUUUUCUAGGUCACACCCAAUUAUUUUUCCUGGGCCAUUAGCUCAGGUGGUUAGAGCGCACCCCUGAUAAGGGUGAGGUCCCUGGUUCAAGUCCAGGAUGGCCCAUAUCUCUAUGUUGGGGGUAUAGCUCAGUUGGUAGAGCGCCUGCUUUGCAAGCAGGAUGUCAGCGGUUCGAGUCCGCUUACCUCCACUGAUUACCACCUCUUCCAUAAUCGGUAGAAAGGAAAUUUUUUGAGUUGUGAUCAAAUUCUGAACGAAUCUAGCCUCCUAAUGAAAUCAUUAAGAUGCUGGACUCAUUGAAUUAAUUUCAUUGUUUUCAGAGAACCUUGACAACUGCAUAGAUUUUUUUAAAGACAAUAAGCAUCUUUAAUGAUGCAGAUUUAUUAUUUGUGCGAAUGCAUUAAUAACAAUUCUAUUAAGCUGAUGCUUCAAUUUUUGAAGUUAUUGGUCAAGCUACAAAGGGCUCACGGAGGAUACCUAGGCACACAGAGGCGAUGAAGG
rnacentral:tRNA from 1 species